rnacentral:rRNA from 1 species
AGUGAACGCUGGCGGUAGGCUUAACACAUGCAAGUCGAACGGCAGCACAGUAAGAGCUUGCUCUUACGGGUGGCGAGUGGCGGACGGGUGAGGAAUACAUCCGAAUCUACUUUUUCGUGGGGGAUAACGUAGGGAAACUUACGCUAAUACCGCAUACGACCUACGGGUGAAAGCAGGGGAUCUUCGGACCUUGCGCGAUUGAAUGAGCCGAUGUCGGAUUAGCUAGUUGGCGGGGUAAAGGCCCACCAAGGCGACGAUCCGUAGCUGGUCUGAGAGGAUGGUCGGCGACACUGGAACUGAGACACGGUCCAGGCUCCUACGGGAGGCAGCAGUGGGGAAUGUGGGACAGUGGGCGCGAGCCUGAUCCAGCGAUACCGCGUGGGUGAAGAAGGCCUUCGGGUUGUAAAGCCCUUUUGUUGGGAAAGAAAAGCAGCAGGUUAAUACCCCGCUGUUCUGACGGUACCCAAAGAAUAAGCACCGGCUAACUUCGUG